GAUGAAGAACGUAGCAAAAUGCGAUACUUGGUGUGAAUUGCAGAAUCCCGUGAACCAUCGAGUUUUUGAACGCAAGUUGCGCCCGAAGCCUUUUGGCCGAGGGCACGUCUGCCUGGGCGUCACGCAUCGCGUCGCCCCCCACAAUUCUCCGUAAAGGGAACAUGUGUUUUGGGGGCGGAUAUUGGUCUCCCGUGCUCAUGGCGUGGUUGGCCGAAAUAGGAGUCCUUUCGAUGGACGCACGAACUAGUGGUGGUCGUAAAAACCCUCGUCUUUUGUUUCGUGCUGUUGGUCGCAAGGUAAACUCUUUAAAAACCCCACUGUGUCGUCUCUUGACGACGCUUCGACCGCGACCCCAGGUCAGGCGGGACUACCCGCUGAGUUUAAGCAUAUCAAUAAGCGGAGGA
rnacentral:misc_RNA from 1 species